AUGAGGUUGCAGUGCUCCCUGGUCCUCCUGAUCGCCCUGAGCGUCGGCUGCGCGGCAGCGCAGGAGAGCGGGAAACAGGCGGGCUACGAUUUCUUCUACCUCGUGCUGCAGUGGCCGGGGUCGUACUGCGACACGAAGCAGAGCUGCUGCUACCCGCGGUCCGGCAAACCGGCGGCGGACUUCGGGAUCCACGGGCUGUGGCCCAACCGCGACGACGGGUCCUACCCGCAGAACUGCAACCCCGACAGCGCCUUCGAUCCCUCCAAGGUGAGCGACAUCCUGAGCAGCCUGCGCAGCAGCUGGCCGACGCUGGCGUGCCCGACCAACGACGGCCUCCGCUUCUGGGCGCACGAGUGGGAGAAGCACGGCACCUGCGCGCAGAACCUCUUCAACGAGCACGGCUACUUCCAGGCCGCCCUCCGCCUGCGCGGCCAGCUCCGCGUCCUCGACGCCCUCGCCACCGCGGGCAUCUCCCCCGACGGCGGGUACUACACGAUGGGGGCCAUCAAGGGCGCCAUCCAGGAGGGGACCGGGUUCGCGCCUCACGUCGACUGCAACCGCGACGAGUCCGGCAACAGCCAGCUCUUCCAGCUCUACUUCUGCGUCCACGCCGACGCCUCCCGCUUCGUCGAGUGCCCCGUCCAGCCCGGCGGCAGGCCCUGUGGCAACAGGAUCGAGUUCCCGGCUUUCUGA
rnacentral:rRNA from 1 species